rnacentral:rRNA from 1 species
AGAACGAACGCUGGCGGCGUGGAUAAGACAUGCAAGUCGAACGCGACUUAUUCAGUUAGCAAUAACUGGGUAAGUUGAGUGGCGAAAGGGUGCGUAACACGUGGGAAUUUACCAAGAAGUGGGGAAUAGCUCGACGAAAGUCGAAUUAAUACCGCAUACGAUCGCAAGAUCAAAGCCGGGGACCGCAAGGCCUGGCGCUUUUUGAGAAGCCCGCGGCCCAUCAGCUAGUUGGCGGGGUAAAAGCCCACCAAGGCUAUGACGGGUAGCUGGUCUGAGAGGACGACCAGCCACACUGGGACUGAGACACGGCCCAGACUCCUACGGGAGGCAGCAGUGGGGAAUAUUGCGCAAUGGGCGAAAGCCUGACGCAGCGACGCCGCGUGAGGGAUGAAGGCCUUCGGGUUGUAACCUCUUUCAGCAGGGACGAAGCGAAGUGACGGUACCUGCAGAAGAAGCGACCGGCUAACUACGUGCCAGCAGCCGC